GUUGGUUAUUUAAUGUAAUUAUAUUUUCAAUUGAUUUUAUUAAUUGUUUUUAAAAAUUUUAUAUGGUGUGAUUAAACUCAGCAUGCCUAUUAUUUUAAAAUAAAUUAUUUAAAAUUCGAUAAGAAAAAAUAUUUAUAUCAAGUUUGGACCCGCGGUCGAACCGGUAAACAUUGACUUGUACAUAAGCUGGUUGGAAUUUAAUGAAAACUCGUUAAUUUAAAGCAUGUGAACUUCAAAAACUCGCAAUCAAGUGUGACCCGCCCUUAUAAACAAAAAACUCGUUAAUUUAAGCCGGUAGACCAAUUUUUGAA
rnacentral:lncRNA from 1 species